rnacentral:rRNA from 1 species
CGACUCUCGGCAACGGAUAUCUCGGCUCUCGCAUCGAUGAAGAACGUAGCGAACUGCGAUACUUGGUGUGAAUUGCAGAAUCCCGUGAACCAUCGAGUCUUUGAACGCAAGUUGCGCCCGAAUCGAGGGCACGUUUGCCUGGGUGUCACAC